GUGACUGCGUACCUUUUGUAUAAUGGGUCAGCGACUUAUAUUCUGUAGCAAGGUUAACCGAAUAGGGGAGCCGAAGGGAAACCGAGUCUUAACUGGGCGUUAAGUUGCAGGGUAUAGACCCGAAACCCGGUGAUCUAGCCAUGGGCAGGUUGAAGGUUGGGUAACACUAACUGGAGGACCGAACCGACUAAUGUUGAAAAAUUAGCGGAUGACUUGUGGCUGGGGGUGAAAGGCCAAUCAAACCGGGAGAUAGCUGGUUCUCCCCGAAAGCUAUUUAGGUAGCGCCUCGUGAAUUCAUCUCCGGGGGUAGAGCACUGUUUCGGCAAGGGGGUCAUCCCGACUUACCAACCCGAUGCAAACUGCGAAUACCGGAGAAUGUUAUCACGGGAGACACACGGCGGGUGCUAACGUCCGUCGUGAAGAGGGAAACAACCCAGACCGCCAGCUAAGGUCCCAAAGUCAUGGUUAAGUGGGAAACGAUGUGGGAAGGCCCAGACAGCCAGGAUGUUGGCUUAGAAGCAGCCAUCAUUUAAAGAAAGCGUAAUAGCUCACUGGUCGAGUCGGCCUGCGCGGAAGAUGUAACGGGGCUAAACCAUGCACCGAAGCUGCGGCAGCGACGCUUAUGCGUUGUUGGGUAGGGGAGCGUUCUGUAAGCCUGUGAAGGUGUGCUGUGAGGCAUGCUGGAGGUAUCAGAAGUGCGAAUGCUGACAUAAGUAACGAUAAAGCGGGUGAAAAGCCCGCUCGCCGGAAGACCAAGGGUUCCUGUCCAACGUUAAUCGGGGCAGGGUGAGUCGACCCCUAAGGCGAGGCCGAAAGGCGUAGUCGAUGGGAAACAGGUUAAUAUUCCUGUACUUGGUGUUACUGCGAAGGGGGGACGGAGAAGGCUAUGUUGGCCGGGCGACGGUUGUCCCGGUUUAAGCGKGUAGGCUGGUUUUCCAGGCAAAUCCGGAAAAUCAAGGCUGAGGCGUGAUGACGAGGCACUACGGUGCUGAAGCAACAAAUGCCCUGCUUCCAGGAAAAGCCUCUAAGCAUCAGGUAACAUCAAAUCGUACCCCAAACCGACACAGGUGGUCAGGUAGAGAAUACCAAGGCGCUUGAGAGAACUCGGGUGAAGGAACUAGGCAAAAUGGUGCCGUAACUUCGGGAGAAGGCACGCUGAUAUGUAGGUGARGUCCCUCGCGGAUGGAGCUGAAAUCAGUCGAAGAUACCAGCUGGCUGCAACUGUUUAUUAAAAACACAGCACUGUGCAAACACGAAAGUGGACGUAUACGGUGUGACGCCUGCCCGGUGCCGGAAGGUUAAUUGAUGGGGUUAGCGGUAACGCGAAGCUCUUGAUCGAAGCCCCGGUAAACGGCGGCCGUAACUAUAACGGUCCUAAGGUAGCGAAAUUCCUUGUCGGGUAAGUUCCGACCUGCACGAAUGGCGUAAUGAUGGCCAGGCUGUCUCCACCCGAGACUCAGUGAAAUUGAACUCGCUGUGAAGAUGCAGUGUACCCGCGGCAAGACGGAAAGACCCCGUGAACCUUUACUAUAGCUUGACACUGAACAUUGAGCCUUGAUGUGUAGGAUAGGUGGGAGGCUUUGAAGUGUGGACGCCAGUCUGCAUGGAGCCGGCCUUGAAAUACCACCCUUUAAUGUUUGAUGUUCUAACGUUGGCCCCUGAUCGGGGUUGCGGACAGUGUCUGGUGGGUAGUUUGACUGGGGCGGUCUCCUCCUAAAGAGUAACGGAGGAGCACGAAGGUUGGCUAAUCCUGGUCGGACAUCAGGAGGUUAGUGCAAUGGCAUAAGCCAGCUUGACUGCGAGCGUGACGGCGCGAGCAGGUGCGAAAGCAGGUCAUAGUGAUCCGGUGGUUCUGAAUGGAAGGGCCAUCGCUCAACGGAUAAAAGGUACUCCGGGGAUAACAGGCUGAUACCGCCCAAGAGUUCAUAUCGACGGCGGUGUUUGGCACCUCGAUGUCGGCUCAUCACAUCCUGGGGCUGAAGUAGGUCCCAAGGGUAUGGCUGUUCGCCAUUUAAAGUGGUACGCGAGCUGGGUUUAGAACGUCGUGAGACAGUUCGGUCCCUAUCUGCCGUGGGCGCUGGAGAACUGAGGGGGGCUGCUCCUAGUACGAGAGGACCGGAGUGGACGCAUCACUGGUGUUCGGGUUGUCAUGCCAAUGGCACUGCCCGGUAGCUAAAUGCGGAAGAGAUAAGUGCUGAAAGCAUCUAAGCACGAAACUUGCCCCGAGAUGAGUUCUCCCUGACUCCUUGAGAGUCCUGAAGGAACGUUGAAGACGACGACGUUGAUAGGCCGGGUGUGUAAGCGCAGCGAUGCGUUGAGCUAACCGGUACUAAUGAACCGUGAGGCUUAACCUUACAACGCCGAAG
rnacentral:rRNA from 1 species